GAAGACGUUCUGAAGUCGGAGCCCGUCUUUCCAAUAUUUUGAAACCAGUACUCAUGCAAAUGGUUACAAAGUAUUCGAAAAGGCGUGCUCUGAGAAGAGCUCUUCG
rnacentral:pre_miRNA from 14 species